GCAACUCCGGGAUCCACAAAUUCCAUGGACUCCUCGAGGUCUGCGCGCACUUCAAAGGGUCCCGACCUGUGUGCCGACAGUGAAGGGUCUCUAAGAUACCACCGUUCUCACAACACGUGACACAGUUCAAUCAGAUUAUAUGAACUCUUGGGAAGCCAAUCAUUUCUGCAGACUCACCUGGAAAUGUCACUGAAAGCAAUGUGGUGAUUCAUGGUCCCGUAACCUGAAGGAUAUGACAAACUGACAAGAUUCAUCAAACCAUGCAAAAAAAAAACUGACAGAGGAAAAUAAAAUCUUGCUUUUAGAAGUUAUGAAA